rnacentral:tRNA from 1 species
UGGGUGUGUAGCUCAGCUGGUAGAGCAGCGGUCUCCAAAGCCGCAGGUCGGGGGUUCGAUCCCCUCCGCACUCGU